GUGAGGUGCACGGCAUCAAUGGGAUCGCAACACCCACUAGAAAUCUAAUUAUCACGUCAGAAAUUUCAUUUCUCUAUCUGAAGAGUGUUGCUCCUUGGAUUGAUUUUGAUGAUUACAAAGCAUUUGAAGGGGUACUAAUGAUUUUCGCUUGAAAAAGACUUAUUGCACUUCAGGGGCAAAAUCAUAAUUUUACCAAACUUUGAUUUGAAAGCAUUAAGUGCUAGAACAAAAGAUUUGUGAUCCAUUGAUGAAAAUUUUAUAGUUUUUGGACAUGUAUUUUGAAAGAUAUCCAUAUUUGAAAAUUUGAGUCGACCCCAUGAGUCGACUCAUG
rnacentral:lncRNA from 1 species